rnacentral:rRNA from 11 species
ACCUCUGGUUGGUGGAGCUGAACACAUCCCGAUCCUCUCUGAUCUUGGAAGCUAAGCAGGCCCAGUCCUGGUUAGUACUUGGAUGAAAGACCUACAUUUAAUAGCAUGUGUUGCAGGUU